UUCGGGCUUCCGUCCCUCCUUUGGGCCCUUCAGUCCCGGACUCAGAGCGGAGUUGUCCGCGGGUUGCCCCCGCCCGACCUCCCGGAGGUGAAAAUGGAGCGCGGCGGCCUCCCGGGGCCGUUUUACACCUUCAUGGGGGCGGCUGCCUGCUCUGAGGGCUCUGAGGAUCUCUCCGGGCUGUAAACCCCUCCGGAGGAUGUGAACCUCUGUCCUCUCCUGCCCCCAGCCCUAAGCUUCUCUAAGGGGAUCUGCGCGGCUGAACAAAGAACGUUGUGUGAGGCGAGGGCUGUAAGCGCUGUUAAUUUGCAUCGGGGAGGGGGGGAAAAAAAACCCCACCAACCCACCUAAAAAAUGUUUCCCUGUGUUGCAUGGAUCACGGAGGAAAACAGCCGUGCACGGCAGCCCAGCGGCGAACAAUGCCUUUUUAUGUAAGAGAAAAUGAUGUAAAACGUGCCCGGCUCAGAUGGCUGCAGGUAGGAGCCGUAGGCGUGUGCUGCGCUGCUGUGCUGCCGUGGUGCUGCACCGAGGCACCGAAUAAACCCUGCUCGCCUUCAUCUGCCCUGUACUCCUUGGACACACUCCGAUCUGCCCUUUGGAUAACAAGUGCUUCAUGGAACACCUUCGGGAAAGAAGGGGGUGUGGCGCAUGCCGGGAGAAUUGCUCUCGGUAUGAAAGCCUUGAAGCAAUGCAAUGCAAGUUUUUCGAAGCUGACAUAAGAAAAUAUUGGAUAUGCUGCCAAGUCCAUGUGGGUGGAGAAAAAAAGGAGGUGUUACUGAUUUUUAUAAACACUUGUGUUCUGAAGAAAGAAAGGAAAAAAGGAACAAGACUUUCCCAGUGGUUCUCUGAGAAUGUAAAUGCCAUGAGUAUUUUGAUUAAUGGCAGAAAUGGCAUUUCCUGUGUUGUCUUUAUUGCUCAAUUGCCUUGUCCUAGUUACAUAAGUUGUAUUUUAUCAACUGGAGCAGAUGAAUAAAAAACCAGUUGGAGAACUC